rnacentral:tRNA from 1 species
CAAAAAAUAGUUUAAUAAAAUAUUAAUUUUGGAGAUUAAAGAUAUAAUUUAUUUUAUUUUUUUGA